UCUGAGGAGGGCCUCGUGUGAACAGUAGCCUGGUCUUCGAAAGGAGAGGCCGGCGGCGCCGGUGAGGUUAGCUCCGAGAGCCCGCACUCGGCAGAAGACCUGUCUGCGAGGGGGUGUGGCUUAGCAAAGCCCACUCUGUGUCGGGAGCGGGGAACGGUGUGCCGGGAGACAGGGGCACCGGAGGGAGCUCCACCAGCUCCGGACAGGCCUGCCCUCCCGGAGCGUCAGCUCCAGAAGACAGGGCAGGGGAGGACAGAACUCCUAGGUUCCUGGAAAGGCCUCCGGGAGAGCCCGCUCUCAAACUUGCUGCAGCACAGACCCAAGGAACAAGCGCAGUCUGCGGCACACAUCCAGAAUCCUUUAGGUGCAAAGACACACCUCUAGACUGAAAGGUCGGUAGAGUCCCAGUGGACAAAGAUUAAGGAGGGCCCCAAAGGCUGCUGCAAGAAAGUACUACAGCCUCGGUGGCCUGGACUACAGAAAUGUACCGUCUCACAUGUCUGCAGGCGAGAAGUCCAAGAUCCACCAGUCAUCAGGACUGGCCCCUUCUGAGGGCUCUCGGGGAGAACCUGCUCCUGGCCUUUCUCCCAGCUUCCAGUGCUUUGCUGGCGAUCUCUGGUGGGUUUUGGCAUGUAGACACAUCCCACCCAUCUGCCUUUCUGUUCACAUGACAUUCUCCCAGGAUGCAUGUCUGUGUCCAGAUCUCCCCUUUCCGUCAUUACCCAGUUAUACUGGAUGAGGGCCACCCCCCCAUGGCCUCGCCUUGACGAAUGACAUCUCCAGAGAAGGUCACAUUCUGAGGCGCUGGGGGUUGGGGUUUCAACAUACGAAUUUGGGAGGACACAAUUCAACUGAGGCCCUUAAGAACCUGAAACAAGACGGCAGUAAAUCCCUCGUCUUCUGCCCGCUGCCGUGGUGACAUGAAAAGGGAUGUGGGAGGGAGGGGACGUUCAGCUCAUAAA